AGUGAACGCUGGCGGUAGGCCUAACACAUGCAAGUCGAACGGCAGCACAGUAAGAGCUUGCUCUUACGGGUGGCGAGUGGCGGACGGGUGAGGAAUACAUCGGAAUCUACUUUUUCGUGGGGGAUAACGUAGGGAAACUUACGCUAAUACCGCAUACGACCUACGGGUGAAAGCAGGGGAUCUUCGGACCUUGCGCGAUUGAAUUAGCCGAUGUCGGAUUAGCUAGUUGGCGGGGUAAAGGCCCACCAAGGCAACGAUCCGUAGCUGGUCUGAGAGGAUGAUCAGCCACACUGGAACUGAGACACGGUCCAGACUCCUACGGGAGGCAGCAGUGGGGAAUAUUGGACAAUGGGCGCAAGCCUGAUCCAGCCAUACCGCGUGGGUGAAGAAGGCCUUCGGGUUGUAAAGCCCUUUUGUUGGGAAAGAAAAGCAGCAGGUUAAUACCCCGCUGUUCUGACGGUACCCAAAGAAUAAGCACCGGCUAACUUCGUG
rnacentral:rRNA from 1 species